rnacentral:lncRNA from 1 species
CUGUUGAGGGAGCAAGCUCUCUCCUUCUUUUAGGCAGCAAGACACGGGCACCGGCCCCGGACUGAGCCUGUCUCUGGCAGGGAGCAAGAGGGGGCGCUGCCUGGGACCCAGUCCCCGCUUAGAACGCCAGGCAUCUCUGGCAGGCCCUCCCUGGACAUCCUCUUGUCUGUUUUGUUUGUGGUUCCCUCCCACACACCCCCAGCAGGCCCUGCCAGGUCCCAGAGAGAAGGGAAGAAGCCAGCCAAGGAGAGAGGAAGCCCACAGCUGCAGGCAGGGGAUAGGGGCAGGGAAGGCUGAGGUGCUGGGGAAGGACUGGUUUGCAGUGGGACCGGGGCACUGGGCCCGGGGCUGAGGAGCUGGAGCAAAGGUAAUCCAGGCGCCCCCCUCCCACCACUUUCCUUCCGUGGUCGGAAGUCAACCUGCAGUAGGCAAAAGUGGGGACAGUGGAACCGAGGCCCCCCAAACUCCCAGCGGUUGGGGUUAGGAGAGGUGGAGAGGAGGGAGCAAGAGUGGAGCGUCGGCGGAGAGAUUGGCAGGGGUCAGCGUAGCUAUGCAAGGGCAGGAGGAAGUGGAGAAACCUGGGAGGAAGUGCGGUUUGGGAGAACAGAGUGAUCAUUAAUGCCCAGUAAAGUCCGCUGGGGUCUGGUCCUCUAGGCCUGGAGGCCGAAGGGGCCGAGGCACAGGCGUUUGACAGAGCCGGCUGCGGACAAGGCGACCAUCAGCCUUAAGUCCUCUCUGGGGCGGGCUGCCUGAAAAGUCUCCUGGUCUCCAGCCCUCUCCCGACGCCUCUGCCCGCCCAUUCGCUCACAGGUGUGCUGCCAGGCACUCUUCCUGCCGCCUAGGCGGCUGCGGACCGGAAGCCGCAAGCGCGGAAUUGAGAGCCCAGCGGACGCAGCCUGGGGCAUAGUAGCCACCCCAGGGACCCCCACCUGGCCCUCCAGGAAGCCCAAGGGGCUGUGAAAGAGUCUGCGAAGGGCGGCAUUGAUUGGCCGGGAGAGUUUCUGGCAGCCGCCCGCUACCGCCGAUUCUCCCUUCCCCGCUGGCGUUCACGGUCACGGCCGGCCAGAGGCUGGACCGGCAUAAUUUACGAGGCAGGGGGAGAAUCUGCCCCUAAAGGGGCUACCGGCCGCAGAGGCCCCUGCUCAGCCCUGGUUUCCCAGGCUGGUGACAAUGAAGGAGGGGGGCGCUGCAGUCCCCCACACAACUCCUUUCUCUCUUUUACCCACCCCCAUUCCACCCGCCCCCCCCCACCCCACCCCACAACGUCGCCCUUUGUCUCAGGAUCCUCUGCCUCCGCCUCCCCCUGGCCAGCGAGGCGCCGAGUACAAGGACCAGAGCUGAAGGAGGGACACAUCCUCAGAACCGGUCGGAAGCCAAAGAGUGGCUUCUUCUGCAGAGGGCCUUUUAUUCAAAGCCCCCUUCAGGCCCCAGCCCCAGCCCACUAGAUCUAGGCUGGCUUAGGAGAGAGAAGCAGUGGAGAAGCUCGGCACCUUCCUGCACUCCGUUUUUAUCCCUCUUGGUGAGAGUUCCCCCGACUUCCCCUCUGCCCACCCACCCACCCUUGCAGGAGCAAGAAGGGCAGAAACAGGGAGCUGAUGAGAGUUAAGCCCAGCCUGGACACUGUGAACUGGCCUGCCAGCUUGGAAGUUCUUCCUGCCCUGGAAGAGUCUCUCCUAACACCCCCUCCAAUGGCAAUCCACAGAGCCUGCCGCUCUCCCACCAGCACACAGCGUCAAGUCCCUGGACAAGACUGUGCAGAGGCAUGGGCAAACGCAGGCACAGCGGAGCCCAGCACCCCCACUGGUCCCACCCCACCCCCCCCCAACAGUACUUGUAAGCCGGCAGCCUCAUAUGUCCCCAAAUGCAGCCCUGCAGAGUGGCGGUACAAUCACAUGCCCUCAUCGCCACUGGGCACCUGCCACACUUCCCCACUGACAUAAACUUGUUUCACCCAUAUACAACAAGUUCACAGAAGUCAGCGCCAUUCCUGCUGUCUGCACAAUCCCUUGUGGGCUGGCCCUGAGUGUGAGGCACUCUCCCCUUUGCCUGGUCAUCCAUGUACCCCUUCGUGCAGCCCCUCCUGUGACCUUGUGGGCUCUGGGGUGCUGGACUCAAGCUUCACCCCUCCAGCCUGACUCCCACAGCCUACUAGAGAAGAGAGACCAGAACACUCCAAAGGGGGUGGGGGUGUAAAGAUAUGCAAUAUUCUCUUCCUGUCGCUUUAAACUUGACUUCCAUGAGCUUCUCUGUCAAUCUGUGUCCUGUUCUCUGUGUCCCUUGCUAGUACCUAGUCUAGUCUCUGUGGAUAGAUGCCCUCCCCAGCUCUCUGUAGUGUGCCCUCCUAGUCAAACGUCUGUCUUUAGCACGUUUUCCCUUUAUAGAGUCCUUGUACAGAGUUGCUUCAUCAUAUUAAUAUUAAUAAUAAUUAAAACAUGACUGA